UACAGAGGGAGCAAGCGUUGUUCGGAAUUACUGGGCGUAAAGGGCGCGUAGGCGGUUCGAUAAGUCCUGUGUGAAAUCCCUCGGCUCAACUGAGGAACUGCACGGGAGACUGUCGGGCUUGAGUUCGGGAGAGGGAAGCGGAAUUCCGGGUGUAGCGGUGAAAUGCGUAGAUAUCCGGAGGAACACCGGUGGCGAAGGCGGCUUCCUGGACCGACACUGACGCUGAGGCGCGAAAGCUAGGGGAGCAAACGGG
rnacentral:rRNA from 1 species